GCUGAGCAAGUAGCGAAUGCUUGUAACACGAGCAGGGGCAAUCAGAUAGUGUGGAUGUCAAUUGUGGAGCAUGUGCCUGGGUCUAGUCCUACAAACUGUGGACCACCCAUUCAAAGUUGUGUAGUGGCUUUCGGGUGCCUUGGCGAAAGCCUUUGCAUCCCAACACCUAAAGUGGUGUGAUGCGUCACGAUGCCCGAUCUUCACGACGUAGGAUCAAUCUUCAGAUAACUAGCUUCAAAGAAGCCAAGAUAACUUGCUGCAAGCAGCGAUAACUAG
rnacentral:SRP_RNA from 7 species